GAGCUCACUUUGGCAGCACAUGUACUAAAACUGGAGUGAUAACAGAAAAGAUUAGCAUGACCCCAACACAAGAAUGACAUGCAAAUCUGCGAAGUUACACACACACAC
rfam:Erinaceus europaeus unplaced genomic scaffold scaffold01137, whole genome shotgun sequence